rnacentral:rRNA from 1 species
UACGGAGGGGGCUAGCGUUGGUCGGAAUUACUGGGCGUAAAGCGCACGUAGGCGGAUUGUUAAGUCGGGGGUGAAAUCCCGGGGCUCAACCCCGGAACUGCCUUCGAUACUGGCAAUCUAGAGUUCUGGAGAGGUGAGUGGAAUUCCGAGUGUAGAGGUGAAAUUCGUAGAUAUUCGGAGGAACACCAGUGGCGAAGGCGGCUCACUGGCCAGACACUGACGCUGAGGUGCGAAAGCGUGGGGAGCAAACAGG